AGAGCAAAAGCCAAGCCAUGAGGUUGAAGGAACUGCUUGGAGAAAUCAGGAUUGUUGUAAGAUCUGGGGGAAACAAAUGGCUGCUGCGCUGAAGAUUCUCUGGACUGAUGAAACCAAGAUUAAGCUGUUUGGCCUCAAUUUUAAAGGUUAUGUCUGGAGGAAAUCAGCUCAUCACCUCAAAACCAUCCCUAAAGCUGGGCCAAACUGAGGGGGGUAGAAGGUACUUGGUUAAAGAGUUGACCAAGAAGCUGAUGGUCACUCUGAGUGAGCUCUGGAGAUCCUGUGUGGAGAUGGAGAGGGACAAAGUUCCAGAAGGACAACCAUCACUGCAGCCCUCCUCUGAUCUGGGCUUUAUAUCAGGGUGACUACAAAGAUGGAAGUCUCUCAUCAGUGGAAAACCCAUGAAAGGCUGCUUUUGGUUUGCCAACUGGCACCUGAAGGAUUCUCAGACUGUGAGGAACAACAUUCUCUGUGGUGGUGAAACUGUUUUACCUCAAUUCUAAACAUGUCUGGAGGACAUCACCUGCCCAAUACCAUCUCAACAGUGAAGCAUGAUGCUUCACCCACAGUUUAAGAGCAGUGACGGCGCACUUCAAAGCGAGAUAUGGAUAAAGAGUUAGUGAUGUGGAGAGAUGAAGAACAAGCCUAUCUGCAGGAUCUGGAAUGCGAGUUAGACGUGUGCAGACACGGCGUCUGGCCCGAGGCGAAUGGAGCUUUCGCUGCUGUGGGAUUUUCUCCUGAAAUCUGAGCGCAUGUGUUUCAGCUCUCAGCCGCUUUACAGCAGCAACUACAGCACAGAGGAUCACACACAACAAACACUCUCUCUCUCUUUUUCUCCACAUCCCGCAUGUGCUUCUCUCCUUCUUUAUUAGCCCCCUUAUUGCUUUUCUAAUUUUAUCUCCACUUCCAUUAUUUCUUUCACUGUCUUUUUUACAGAUUCUAACAUUUCACUUGCAUAAUUUUCUCUUCCACUCUCACUUUCAUUUUUUUUUUUACUUCAAAU